GAGAGAGACAUGCGCGCAUAUCAAUAAGCGGAGGAAAAGAAACUAACAAGGAUUCCCUUAGUAACGGCGAGUGAAGCGGGAAGAGCUCAAAUUUGAAAUCUUCAAGGUUUUACCUUGACGAAUUGUAGUUUAAAGAAGUGUUUUCUGCUGAAGUUUUGGUAAAAGUUCUUUGGAAUAGGACAUCAUAGAGGGUGAGAAUCCCGUAUUUGACCAUUAUUUUCAGCUUUGUGAUACACUUUCAAAGAGUCGGAUUGUUUGGGAAUGCAGUCCAAAAUGGGUGGUAAAUUUCAUCUAAAGCUAAAUAUUGGCGAGAGACCGAUAGCGAACAAGUACCGUGAGGGAAAGAUGAAAAGAACUUUGAAAAGAGAGUUAAACAGUACGUGAAAUUGUCAAAAGGGAAGCGUUUGACACCAGUGUUGUUUUCUCGAAAAUCAAUUAAAAAUGGCUCGAUUUUGUAUUGCUUGAGACCUUAAAAGCUCACUGUACAUUUUUCGUGUCUUUUUUAAUGCACUUUUCGUUUAACAAGUCAACAUCAGUUUCUUUUGUUGUAAAAGGGUCAUUGGAAGGUGGCUUUCUUUUCGGAGAAAGUGUUUAUAGCCUUUGGCCUCUGCAAUCGAAGAGACUGAGGUCUGCAGCGUAGACUCUUCGGGGUUAGAUACAUUUGUGCUAAGUUAUAGCUUUUUAUAGACAACUUGUUGACUAUAAUUAGUCUUGUAGCUUACUCGCUUAUGCUAUUUUACCUACGCUUAGGAUGUUGAAGUCAUCGUAUCGCGC
rnacentral:rRNA from 1 species